CAGGGUGUCUCAGAGCGGUAUCUUCCAGUUGGGAUUCUUCAAUCUUAACAACGACUUGAAGCAUCCCAAUUUGAAGAUACCGCCCUUAGAAAUCCUG
rnacentral:pre_miRNA from 1 species